rnacentral:rRNA from 1 species
GUACACUCCUGCGGGAGGCAGCAGUGAGGAAUAUUGGACAAUGGGUGGAAGCCUGAUCCAGCCAUCCCGCGUGCAGGAAGACGGCCCUAUGGGUUGUAAACUGCUUUUAUCUGGGGAUAAACCUACUUACGUGUAAGUAGCUGAAGGUACCAGAAGAAUAAGCACCGGCUAACUCCGUGCCAGCAGCCGCGGUAAUACGGAGGGUGCAAGCGUUAUCCGGAUUUAUUGGGUUUAAAGGGUCCGUAGGCGGACUGAUAAGUCAGUGGUGAAAUCCGACAGCUUAACUGUCGAACUGCCAUUGAUACUGUUAGUCUUGAGUAAGGUUGAAGUGGCUGGAAUAAGUAGUGUAGCGGUGAAAUGCAUAGAUAUUACUUAGAACACCAAUUGCGAAGGCAGGUCACUAAGUCUUAACUGACGCUGAUGGACGAAAGCGUGGGGAGCGAACAGGAUUAGAAACCCGAGUAGUCCCA